GACGUCCUGCCGGUGGCGGUCCGUGCUCUCGGGUGUGUGUAGGUUCGCCGAAGCACCCCGUCUGUCGCGGCCGCCGAUUCAAUCCCGCCGCGGUGCUCUUGACUGAGUGUCGAGGUGGGCCGGCACGUUUACUUUGAACAAAUUAGAGUGCUUAAAGCAGGCUGAUUUCCGCCUGAAUACUGUGUGCAUGGAAUAAUGGAAUAGGACUUCGGUUCUAUUUUGUUGGUUUUAAGAAUCCGAAGUAAUGAUUAAUAGGGACAGGCGGGGGCAUUCGUAUUGCGACGUUAGAGGUGAAAUUCUUGGAUCGUCGCAAGACGUACCUAAGCGAAAGCAUUUGCCAAGUAUGUCCUCGUUAAUCAAGAACGAAAGUUAGAGGUUCGAAGGCGAUCAGAUACCGCCCUAGUUCUAACCAUAAACGAUGCCAGCCAGCAAUCCGCCAAAGUUCCUCCGAUGACUUGGCGGGCGGCUUCCGGGAAACCAAAGCUUUUGGGUUCCGGGGGAAGUAUGGUUGCAAAGCUGAAACUUAAAGGAAUUGACGGAAGGGCACCACCAGGAGUGGAGCCUGCGGCUUAAUUUGACUCAACACGGGAAACCUCACCAGGCCCGGACACUGGAAGGAUUGACAGAUUGAUAGCUCUUUCUUGAUUCAGUGGGUGGUGGUGCAUGGCCGUUCUUAGUUGGUGGAGCGAUUUGUCUGGUUAAUUCCGAUAACGAACGAGACUCUAGCCUGCUAACUAGGCGUUUCCGGUAUCCACAAUAGUGCUACCGGCGAAUAAAUUUCUUCUUAGAGGGACAGGCGGCUUCUAGCCGCACGAGACUGAGCAAUAACAGGUCUGUGAUGCCCUUAGAUGUCCUGGGCCGCACGCGCGCUACACUGAAGGAAUCAGCGUGUUUUCCCUGGCCGAAAGGUCCGGGUAACCCGUUGAACCUCCUUCGUGCUAGGGAUUGGGGCUUGCAAUUGUUCCCCAUGAACGAGGAAUUCCCAGUAAGCGCGAGUCAUAAGCUCGCGUUGAUUACGUCCCUGCCCUUUGUACACACCGCCCGUCGCUACUACCGAUUGAAUGAUUUAGUGAGGUCUUCGGACUGGUGCGCGACGAACGCCUCGUGCGGUCGCCGA
rnacentral:rRNA from 1 species